rnacentral:tRNA from 1 species
GGGGAUAUAGCUCAGCUGGGAGAGCGCUUGAAUGGCAUUCAAGAGGUCAGCGGUUCGAUCCCGCUUAUCUCCACAA